rnacentral:rRNA from 1 species
GACGAACGCUGGCGGCGUGCUUAACACAUGCAAGUCGAACGGAAAGGCCCUGCUUUUGUGGGGUGCUCGAGUGGCGAACGGGUGAGUAACACGUGAGUAACCUGCCCUUGACUUUGGGAUAACUUCAGGAAACUGGGGCUAAUACCGGAUAGGAGCUCCUGCUGCAUGGUGGGGGUUGGAAAGUUUCGGCGGUUGGGGAUGGACUCGCGGCUUAUCAGCUUGUUGGUGGGGUAGUGGCUUACCAAGGCUUUGACGGGUAGCCGGCCUGAGAGGGUGACCGGCCACAUUGGGACUGAGAUACGGCCCAGACUGCUACGGGAGGCAGCAGUGGGGAAUAUUGCACAAUGGGCGGAAGCCGGAUGCAGCAACGCCGCGUGCGGGAUGACGGCCUUCGGGUUGGAAACCGCUUUCGCCUGUGACGAAGCGUGAGUGACGGUAAUGGGUAAAGAAGCACCGGCUAACUACGUG